AUCCGGUUGUUGAGUCCCAAAGUAGGACGAAACGCGUGUUCCGGAU
rnacentral:hammerhead_ribozyme from 1 species